GUAAAAAUAAACUAAUUUAAGUUAUAGGUUUCAUCUACCUAAUAUGUAAGUAUAAUCUUAUUUUUUACU
rnacentral:tRNA from 1 species